GCCGCUUGGGGGGCCGGGAGCUGCCGCUGCCCCCCGGCUACACCGGGGCCGUGCUGCAGGGGGGGGCACCGGGAGAGCCCCCCCUGGGCGAGCCCGGGGACCCCCAGGCCGGCUGGGUGACGGUGACGGGGUCGUUCGGGGCCAUCACGGACUGGGGGGCUGACACCGCCCCCGCCCCCGGCCGGGGCCUGGCCCGGGCCCUGCACUGGGGACCCCUCGCCCAGGCCCUCCACGCCCCCGUGACCGAGGACAGCGAUGAGGAGGCGGAGCCAUGACAGGCCACACCCACCGGAUAAACCACGCCCACAUCAUUAACAAAUCCGACCACGCCCAAAGGGGGCGGGGUCCAUUAGAACCGCCGUGCCUUAAGCCCUGCCCAGUGUGGGUGGAGCCUGUGUAAGCCCCACCCCUUUUAUUAAAACAUCAAAAUGUUCUCAGGAGGCCCCACCCACAAACAAAGCCACGCCCACUAUGGGCGGGGCAUCAAAGCCACGCCCACAAAUCCAGUCCCACUGUGGGCGGGGCCUGGCAGCACCCCGCCCCCUUUCUGCUCAAUAAAGCGUUUGCAGCUCCA